rnacentral:lncRNA from 1 species
GGCCUUAUAUAUCUUCAGUUCAGAAUUUUAGUUAUGUAGCAUAGGUUCUAUUUAUUCGUAGGAAGAUGUCAACCGGUGGUGCCAUAAUUUGUCCUUUUAUUUUUUCAGUUUCCUAGAUGACUAAUAAAUAAUUGUUUCUAAAUUAUCGCUAAGAAUCAUUUAAUUUGAACGUAAGACUUUUGCAACUAUAAAAAUAAAUAAGAUAAUGCCAACUCCAACCCUAUGUCUUGUUGCUGCUUUACAACAUCUUUCUUUAAUGGAUGAUACACAAGUUUUGAUGUAUUUCCGAAGAAGGAAAAUCGACUAAGAAGCAUCUAGCUGUUUCUAAAUCGUUUGUGCUCUUAUUUUUUAAUUGCAUGAACAGUUAGAUCAUUCCAACAGUGGCACUCUUUAUUUUUUAGUCGUGUGAUCGUUAGGUUCGGAUCGAAUCAGUGGCGGAGGACCCAGUGUGGCGAGCGCCACACGUUGAUCCUACCGGCAAAGACGUUAAUUCAAUUAACGAAGUAAUUUUCAGGGCUUUGUUUCUCCCAUCAGAAGACUAGGUUGAACAUGCUUUUUUGGGCUUAGGAUUUUUUUUUCUGUAGAAUCAGAUAGGUAGGUUUUUCUUUGCACAAAUCACUAAUAUGGAUAUUUUUUUCCUUUUUGAAUUUUUCUGUGGCCAUGAAAAUACA